GCAAACGCCAUCUGCUCUGGGGGAUUUGUCACUGAUCAUUUAGCAGCGUGCUCAUUCUGCAAUUCCUCUAAUGAACAAUUCGAGGCAAAUCCUCUGCUGGGCAGCUUGAUACCGCAAAAUAACCUGAAGGAGAGGGGCAGCCCCUCCACUCAGAAUGAAAACCGUGCUCAGCUGUCUGCCAGGAGAGACCGACCCUCAGCACCUUCGCGAAGCAGAGCCAGGCAGGCACCGCAGGGCGCUGGGAGCGGGAUUCUCCAGCCACGAGAGGGGGCUCAGAGAAGGCGCAACGGAGCCAACCCAAACAUCUCAUCGGAAAAGGUUCACAGUUCGGCUUGGCUACAGCAGGUAGAGCUGGAAGGGAGCAGCCUGCGGGCCUACAGGCAUCGCCCUCCACCGCGGGCCGGUAGGCGGGGACCUGCCCGGAGGACGGAAACCCGCGGGGCCCGGCGGCUACGGCGACGGUGUCACUGCGUCCCCGCACAGCUCUGCUCCUCGCCUCGCAGCUCCCGGAGCUGGCGCCGCCUGAGCACCGCUCGCUUCGCCUGGGAACGGCCAGGCUCUGGAUUUAGCUCCGGGAGAGACUGGAAACCGCCUCUCUGGAAGCUCAGCAUCCUCCUGGCCGCCUCACUGGCAACUGCGUGGGCGGGAGGGCAGCUGGACCCGCCAGAUGCGGCCUGGUUUCCCUCACAGACGGGGCUCUUCUCCGUGCCAGCCACUUCUCCCCACCCUCCCCCGUCCCCCCAACAGCCGCCUCAUCCUCACAGGCCCCCGCACCGGCACCGCGGGCUGCCCCGGCGCUCCCCGGCUCGCAGACGGGGCCGCGGCCGGGCGGUGCCGGCUCCUCACGUCACACUCAGCAGCUCCCCCGUCCCCCCCGCUCCCCGGUCGGUGGGCGGGAUCCCAGACCGAGGCGGCGCGGCAGGGAGAGCGCUGCGAUGGAGGCCGAGCGGGAAGGCGGGCGGGGCCGCCCCACGCGCAGGGACCGCUGGGAGCUGUAGUCCGGGUCGCGCCCAGGUGCGGCGGCGCGCGGGGGCCGCCGGGAGCUGCGUCCGCCCCGCGGGCAGGUGCGGCGCUGCCCGCGGGAACUACAUGUCCCGGGAUGCCGCGGGGCGCGGGCGGCGCGGGCGCGGCGGCGGCGGCGGCGGCGGGGGCGUAGCGAAGAUGGCGGCGGGGGCGCUGCGCCCCGCUCCCGGCUGA
rnacentral:lncRNA from 1 species